rnacentral:sRNA from 1 species
CAGUGGGAUACCUGUGAGCAGAGGCCUGGGCUGGAAGGCUUGGGAGGGCAAGCUGGGGUGGGGCUGGCCCGAAAUGGGAGGCCUAGGAAGGUGGGCAAAGCAGAAGGGGGCAAGAGUGAUAAGGGAAGGAGAAGAGGCCUGGGCCUGCUCCCUGUCACCUUCCAUCCUCCCCACAGUCCUCCGGGAGGAUUUCCAGAUCCAGCCUCGGGACAUGGUGGCUGUGGUGGGUGAGCAGGUAACUCUGGAAUGUGGGCCACCCUGGGGCCACCCAGAGCCCACAGUCUCGUGGUGGAAAGAUGGGAAACCCCUGGCCUUCCAGCCUGGAAGGCACACAGUGUCCGGGGGGUCCCUGCUGAUGGCAAGAGCAGAGAAGAGUGACGCAGGGACCUACAUGUGUGUGGCCACCAACAGCGCAGGACACAGGGAGAGCCGCGCAGCCCGGGUUUCCAUCCAGGAGCCCCAGGACUACACGGAGCCUGUGGAGCUUCUGGCUGUGCGAAUUCAGCUGGAAAAUGUGACACUGCUGAACCCGGAUCCCGCAAAGGGCCCCAAGCCUGGACCGGCGGUGUGGCUCAGC